rnacentral:rRNA from 1 species
UACGGAGGGGACUAGCGUUGUUCGGAAUUACUGGGCGUAAAGCGCACGUAGGCGGAUUUGUAAGUCAGGGGUGAAAUCCCGGGGCUCAACCUCGGAACUGCCUUUGAUACUGCAAAUCUCGAGUCCGGAAGAGGUGAGUGGAAUUCCUAGUGUAGAGGUGAAAUUCGUAGAUAUUGGGAGGAACACCAGUGGCGAAGGCGGCUCACUGGACUGGUACUGACGCUGAUGCGCGAAAGCGUGGGGAGCAAACAGG